rnacentral:lncRNA from 1 species
CGCAACUACUACCUCAAACAACGUAAAGUGGUAGGAAAAGGGGUACACAAACCCUAUUUUCAGGAUUUUUUUCUUUCGGGGUUUGUUGGGUAACCACUAUCUUUACACUCUUCGGAUCAUAUUGUUUAGUUUACUCACUGGUAAUUAACCAAAUUAAGACCAAUCAAUGAUUGGUUAGAUACAUUACUGUAAACAUGAAUACUCGUUUGUGAUUCGUAUAUGAAAAGUGAAAGAGAAAAAAAAAAGAAAAGUUACAAACUUAAGUAAUUUUUAGGGCUGUUAGUAUGAAGUUUUACCACUAAACAGUUUAAAAACGAAGUUAAGGAAUAGCAAAAUACUACGGUAAAGAGGAAGUAUUAAGUUAAAUGCAGCAUUACAUAUAUGCAUGACAAAAUCAGAUCCUAUUAAGUUAAAUUCAGUACGCAACAAUGUAUCUUCAUUUAUAUUGCUUUCUAAUGCAUCAACAUUGAAUGACAUGAAAAAUUAAGAAGGUCAAAGAUAGGAUUUAAGGAAGACAACUAAGAGGUGUGGUGUCAGUCUGAGUAUUCAAUUAAACUGAAUAGUCAAGUUAACAAAGAGUGGGAUAUUUCGGAUUUUAUCGAAAUUUCCUUUUUUUCAGUAUUUCUAAACACCAAUUAGUAAAAGACUAAGUGUCUAUUAAUCUAAAUAAGAAGAACAAAUACAAAAACAAACACAAAAUCGUUUUGCUGAACUAAAAAUUUAAGCCCCAGAUUUAAUUAAAUGUGUGAUAAUCUGAACCCUGUUGUAGAAAAAAAAAUGUGGAAGUGAAGAGAAAGGAAAGUAAGCGAGCCGAAUUCACCUCAUCAGAAAGGAAUUAGCAUAGGCAUUAAUUGAUAAAAAUAAAUAUAAUAGAUGAAUACAUAUAAGAACAAUGAUGGUACAACUUGAUAUAGCAAUGCCUCACUAGCUACUAAAUAAUAAUGAAUAUCAUCAUCAAGCAUUGAAAACCUUGGAAAGAGCUUGCAGCACAUUGAGUUGGAUCCUUAAUUUUAAGAUGUGUUCCGCCGUCUUAAGGAAGAGCCGGUCGGGGUUCAUUCCGGCGCCACCGGGAACCAGGCGCUGCAGCUUCUUCAUCCUCCUCUCUACACCCUCUUGCCUCCUCCUCCUCUUCCCCCACCUCACCUUUCUCAUGUCCCUGCAACCCAUUAAUUUUUAGCACAAUUUUGUGUCCCAAAGGAAGAAAAUACUAAUAAAUAUGGUAGAUUUGUUCAAAUGAAAGAAGAGAAAGAAAGGAAAGAAGAAAACAAUGAUGGGAGUGGAAGAGAAUGGCAUGGAAUGAGAAAUGGGGGAGGGCUAUAAAUGAAUGGAGAAAAAGGCAAAGUUCAAGAAACGGGCCAUGAGAGCCGAGCCCAGCCGAUCCCAUUUUCAAGCGGCUAGCGCCCCGAACAAAACAUAAAUAAUAAUAAUAAUAAUAAUAAUAAUAAUAAUAAUAAUAUUUUAUUUUUUUAUUCAUAUACACUACUUAUAUAAUAUGAAACAAUUUCCGCUAUUUAUUGGUUAUUAUGUGUAUUUUGCGUGUGGAUUUUGGAGGAAGACUCGGUUUUAGUUUGGCGUGUUACGGGCUGGUGGGCCAGGCCCACGUUUGUCGUGGAGCGGCCCACGCACGUGUCUGUCAGUGGCUGGCACCAGCCAGAUUUAUGAACGGCUUGCGUUGCAUACACGUGUCCUAGUAAUCCUCGAAUCCCGACAGUUGUUCGCUCCUGUCACGGGAUCGGAUCGGUUGCGUCAUGCCCCAUCGUAAAUCCGAGUCUGAGUCAGCAAAUCGUGCGGCUAACGAUGGUCCUGCAAUGGACCCCACGCGCGAAAUUCGGUUUCCCACGUGCGGCCUCACAUGGCCUUGUUCUUUCUCGUGUGGUGGUGAGGUCCAACCAAAUUCCAGAACACUUCUCUUCACCAGAGACUCACUCACCCUUGCCUUGCCUGCACCCAC